UACGUAGGGUGCGAGCGUUGUCCGGAAUUAUUGGGCGUAAAGGGCUCGUAGGCGGUCUGUCGCGUCGGGAGUGAAAACACGGGGCUUAACCCCGUGCCUGCUUCCGAUACGGGCAGACUAGAGGUAUGCAGGGGAGAACGAAUUCCUGGUGUAGCGGUGAAAUGCGCAGAUAUCAGGAGGAACGACCAGGCUGGCGAAGGCGGUUCUCUGGGCAUUACCUGACGCUGAGGAGCGAAAGUGUGGGGAGCGAACAGG
rnacentral:rRNA from 1 species